rnacentral:misc_RNA from 1 species
GAAAUGCGAUACGUAAUGUGAAUUGCAGAAUUCAGUGAAUCAUCGAAUCUUUGAACGCAUAUUGCGCUCUCUGGCAUUCCGGAGAGCAUGCUUGUUUGAGUAUCAGUAAACACCUCAAGUCAAGAAGUUAUUAAAUUUCGAGACUUGGAUUUGAGUGAUCCUAACACAGAUGCAAAAAUUGUGUCUUGUGGCAGGUCGCUUGAAAUUCAGGUGCAGCUGAACUUUUUCUUCUGAGCUAAAAGCAUUAUUUUAUUUAGUCUUUAUUGACUAUUACUUUUUGCUGCAGCUAAUAUAAAGGGAGAAAGAGCUCUUUUACGCUGACUGAUGCAGGAAUUUAUCAGUUUUUGUAACACAAAGAUUGUUAGACUCGAUCUCAAAUCAAGUAAGACUACCCGCUGAA